rnacentral:lncRNA from 1 species
UCCUGUCGACACCAAUUCAAGCGAAUUCCCCCCUAGGGUCUAGGUGGAAGUGAUGCAGUGAUGUUUCCGCACCUGUGACUGACUUGCCAGUGCCACCUCCCCCUCUCCUCGCCUACACUUGUCCCUAAGCCUUAAUGCACACUUACAUUCUAGUACACACGCUCCCAGUCGAGCGAAGGCGUGAGAGGUAGAGAGAGAGGUAGAGGGAGAGAUAGAGAGAGCGAUAGAGAUAGAGAGAGAGACACGAAGAGAGAGAGAAAGAGAGAAAUUGAUAGUACUACGGAGGAGAAAAAACGCCUGGGUGGAGCAGCGUCGUGUUGCUGCGGAAACUCGUUCGGUUGAACGCGCGGUUCGUUGCAGAUGCAAAUAACGUCGAGCAGGGAAGGCGAACGGGGGUAAUGGUGAUCCCAAACGGGUGUGUGUGAGAGAGACAGCUCCGGUAGGGAUAUGGAGGAAUCUGAGAGCGUCCCCUCCGCACCAGAGGACGGACUCCUGGCUACCUGGCGCUGGAACAGAAACGCAAGGGAACAGGUUCAGCUGAAGCAGAAGAUCAAAGAUCUACCUGGCUUGUUGAAACACGGACUGCAUUUGAGGAAGAAAAGUCAGUCACCUGACACCAUCCCUGGACCGAGCGCCGGACUCCCCCGACAAAAGGUAGGGAAAUCCAUAAUCACACACACAGACACACACACACACACACACGCACACGUUUCUCUGGUCUUGGGCAGAGACACCUGUGUCCUUAAAACACAAAGCAUUUACUGCACUUGUUGGCGCAUCCCCUAUACAGCAGCCAUUACAUGCAGUGUACACACAAAGACACGCACAAACACACACACACACACACACACACCAAUAUCCAUCAAUGCAACCACAUUACAAUUCUGCACGUGUGUGUGUGCGUGUGAGACAGAGACAGAGACAGAGACAGAGACAGAGACAGAGACAGAGACAGAGACAGAGACAGAGACAGAGACAGAGACAGAGACAGAGACAGAGACAGAGCGUGUGUGUGUACAUAUGGGGUGGAUUUUUGGUGCAGAACGGCUGUGUGUGCGUUUGAGUGUGUAUGCAUAUUCGUGUGUGUGUGUGUGUGUGUGUGUGUGUGUGUGUGUGUGUGUGUGCGCUGCAUAUGCACGUGUGUAUGCAUGCUCAAUCAGAUGUCCCUUAGGAAGCCCCUGAAGCACAAGGAGCUUGUGAUGUUAAUCGCUACCCUUCAUGUUGAUGAGUCUGACUCCCCUCCCCU